GAUGAACGCUGGCGGCGUGCCUAAUACAUGCAAGUCGAGCGAACAGACGAGGAGCUUGCUCCUCUGACGUUAGCGGCGGACGGGUGAGUAACACGUGGAUAACCUACCUAUAAGACUGGGAUAACUUCGGGAAACCGGAGCUAAUACCGGAUAAUAUAUUGAACCGCAUGGUUCAAUAGUGAAAGACGGUUUUGCUGUCACUUAUAGAUGGAUCCGCGCCGCAUUAGCUAGUUGGUAAGGUAACGGCUUACCAAGGCAACGAUGCGUAGCCGACAUGAGAGGGUGAUCGGCCACACUGGAACUGAGACACGGUCCAGACUCCUACGGGAGGCAGCAGUAGGGAAUCUUCCGCAAUGGGCGAAAGCCUGACGGAGCAACGCCGCGUGAGUGAUGAAGGUCUUCGGAUCGUAAAACUCUGUUAUUAGGGAAGAACAAAUGUGUAAGUAACUAUGCACGUCUUGACGGUACCUAAUCAGAAAGCCACGGCUAACUACGUA
rnacentral:rRNA from 1 species